ensembl:antisense Gm9828 predicted gene 9828
UGAGGCCUGGAUCCCCAAUUCACCCCUCCAGGCUCGCCGGGGCGCACAGGGCCCCUCGCCCCUCCCCCGCCCGGCCCGGCCCGGCCUCGGGCUCAGCCCCACGGCGACCGAGCAUCCCCCGCUCCCCGCCGCCCUGCCCGGCCUGGGCCGAGGCCUCGCCACGGCCUGCCCGGCCCGGCCACUCUCCGCAGGCCUCGCGGUACCUGAGACUCCCGUCCUCGGCUUCCGCCGAGAGGGAGAGAGGGCGUCGCUUCGGCCCCGGGCCAGCCGCCCCUGGCUCGCCCUCGCCCCCGAGAGUCCGCCUGGGUGGGAGCGCCCGUCCGUCGCAUCGCUUUCCUCAGCUCCGUCCGUCCCCUCCCUGCCUCGCUCCUGCCGGGAAACGCCCGCCCCACCCCCAACUCCCGGUCUCCUCCCACGCCGGCGUCCACGGCCUUUUUUCUGUACCUUGUCGGAGUGGAAAUGGCGCCGCGCGGGGAACUAAGGUUCACGCUCAGGGGGUCUCGGGCAGACCAGCUGAGAGAAGGCGCACACACGCGGGGACGCAAGAUGGCAGCUAGAGGGAGGCCGGAAAUAACGCGACGCCACUUCCUCCAGAAUUCAGGAAGCGGAGUUGGCGUCGCCGCGCAUGCGCAGCCGGGGGCCGGUCCGCGGCUGUUUCUUUCCUUUCGUCCAGCGGCGGGCCGGGAGCAGCACCGGAGAGCUGGGACCCGCGGUCGCCGUCCGCGGUCCUGGGAAAGGCCGCGGAUAGAUCGGACAGUGAGGCUCCCUGUAGAGCUGUGGUUAAAUCAGUCUGCCCUGUGGCCACCCCGUAGGGCGUCCAGCUUUGUCCAGUAGGCUGCAGUGUCUGCUCAAUGCCGGGUGUAAAUAAAAAACUAUCGAAAUC